AAGCCAUAUGCAGCAAGUAGGUCGAACGUGUUGUGGAACAACAGCAGCUGCCCAAGGGGAACACAGGCCAAUUCGCUAUUGUCCCUGGUGAUUGCAAAUCAUUAGCAAAUGUGCAGAAGUUUUCGCAAGUGCAAGGUGCAACCUCUGCACAGCUAGAUAGUGUGGAAUACCGAGGUCCCUUUGAGUUUGGAUUUGGCCAACCUCUGAUAUGUGCCAAGUAUCCUUAUGGAGAGCAGUGCUAUAGGUUAUAUA